rnacentral:lncRNA from 12 species
UUCAUCUUCAAUGCAAUGCCUAAAUGAAAUGCAACCUCUCAAACAAGGACUUUCUUUGCAAACCUUUGCAGGCUGUGUGGGACCUUUGGGAGCAUCUGGGAAGCUCUGGCUCAAAGCGCAUGAAAAUAAAGGUACAAAGGAAAAUAUUCCUCUCACAUGCAUACUAAAUCACUUGGAAACACUGGCAUCUGGCUCCCUGCAUUUCCUGUGUGUGGAUGAGCUAUGGGAGUAA